rnacentral:sRNA from 1 species
CCUAAGGUAUCCGCCCCCUCCGAGCCUCCGCCGCCCCUCGGAGACCACUUCCGCUCGGACGGACCCACUCCAGCCACCGCUGCACGCGGAAGCGCUCAUCCUCCCCGCCUGCCCCUUUCCCUCCGCCUUCUUCUGUGGGACAACCAGGGACCACAGCUCCCCGCUCCGCAGGUGUGGGGGCUCCGACACGAACGCCUCUGCUUGCAGGGCAGUGAGCGCAGAUCCCACGGGUCCCUCGGUCGGGGGUCAAGGCUGCUUCCGUUUCCAUCUCGGAGCCGACAAUGGGCGGGAAAAAGAAGACUUUACACGACUACGCGGCGGAGUUCACCGACCUGGUGGUGAAGCAGCACCUGAUUGAGCACAGUAACUCUGGGGACACGUCUGUGGUGGAGACCCUUUACUGCAGGGCCUGCGAGCUGCCCAUGCGCGUGCGGAGGGACUGCAUCCUGGAACACCUGUCUUCGGGCAGGCACUGCAGGAACCGCAGACUCAUCCGACAGCACGGCCUGCGGACGCCCAUUCUCAUGUAAAUGUCAGUUGCCAACGCUGGUGUUUCAGGAGACAUCCCAGCGGGCUGCGGGCUAUUUUAGGAUUCUCUGCCCUGCAAACGUUUCCGAACUCAGCCGCCUCGGAUCUCGCUGCCACCGGCCUUACUGCACACCCGUGCCACCCGCCCUUGCCCCGUCAGCCUCAGCCUCGGCUCAUUCUCUCAGGCAGUCCCAGCAUUGGCACAGUACCUCCUCCCACUGUGGGCCACACGUCUGUGCUCCCUGUCAACCCUACUGCCAUCAGCACCACCACCAGCGACUUGUCUGCCCAGGAGGAUGCAACACCAUCUACCUCCACCGGCCACCUUUCAGUGUCUCCUGCUUUCCAAGUAAAGACACCAGCAGUGCCCUCAGAGCAGACCAGCCAGAGAUUUUCUGAAGCCUCCCACAGGGUGCUCUCUGGAGGAGGCCUGAGAUGCUCUCGUGACUUUGGAGCCGGGGUGGCUGGCCACCUUGGCCUGGCCGGCCACCUUGGCCUGGCCAUCUUUGGGGUGGGCUUCGGGAGCCCGGCACUGCUGCAGAGUGUGGUGGAUGAGAACAGCUGCUGCUUGCUGUACGUGGUGGAGGACCAGCUGUGUGACGUGGAGCGAGCCUUCAGAGCUGAGCAUUUGGCCAAUACCAGAGUGGUUCGGGAACAGGAUGCGGACAUCGUCCUCAACCACCAGCGGCGCUUUGAUCCGGCUUUCCAGUUCUUGCACAAGCAAGUUUGUGUCAGCCACGCCCUGGGGAGGAUCCACCGGAUCACCGCAGUCAGCAGCCUGUUCCCAGCGGCCUCUCUGGCUUCCCUAAAGAGGGCAGUAGCUUCCCUCCAGACCAGAAGCCAGAGCUCACUCUCCCUUGUGUCCAGGUGGGAUUUUCUACAACGCUGCUGUGCACGACGUGGAUGCCGUAUGCAUGUUGCUGGGGAAGCCACUCCGGACACUGUGUUUUUUCUGGGACGUGGCUUCUGCCCAGAUAUGGCCGCCUUAAAAGAUGCAGACGCUGUUGGGAUCAGCAUGAAGUUUCCCUGUGAGGCUGUGGUCAGCAUGGACGUCAGCCAGCACUGCACAGACAGCUGCGACCAGGACGUCAGCCAGCACUGCGCAGACAGCUGCGACCAGGACGUCAGCCAGCACUGCGCAGACAGCUGCGACCAGGACGUCAGCCAGCACUGCGCAGACAGCUGCGACCAGAGACUGGAGGGAAAGAACCUCCUGAAAUCACCAAAGAGCAGUUCCUCAGGGCCUUCUGGGUGGCCGUGGCCGCGGAGCAGUCGUGGUGGAACCGGUCAGCUGUGGACCUGCCCUGUGAAUCGGCAGAGGGCUCUGUGGUGAGGACAGAAGCUCCAUGAACCAACCCGAGGCUGGAGCCAAGAUCCUGCCCGAUAUCCAGUUGCCUGUUUCACUUGUCGCUGUUACUGGGAGAGGGAGACAGAACCUCAUGGCGGUCUUGUCCUCACUGGAGACUCAGAAGGGGAAUCAUUGGGAAACCGUGUAUGUUUCACUUCUGGUGUAACCAGACUUUUCAGGAUGUGACUUCAGACCGAGGACACAAGUUGGGCUUGCUUAGCUGUUUUGUGUUGCAUGCAGGCCUCAGAGAUGCUCUUCCGGUCAGAGUUCCCUUGGCAGGGCCUCGGAGGCCUCUGGUUGGCUCUGUCAGGAAGAGGGCAGGUCAGGGAUUGGAUAGUGUAAAUUGACCCAGAAACCCGCAGUUUCAGCUUUUCUGUGGCAAAUGGGGCCGAGGGCUGGUGAAGCUGUUAAGACUAAAUGUCUCAUGCAUGAGGCAGGCUGCAGGCCUCCUUAGGCCUUUUUUGGGGUAAUUAUACCACUAUUUAAAAACAUUUUUUUUUGUUUGUUUUGAGACAGGGUCUUGCCCUGUCACCCAGGCUGGAGUGCAGUGGUAUGAUCUCGGCUCACUGCAACCUCCGCCUCCCGGGUUCAAGCGAUUCUUUUGCCUCAGACUUCUGAGUAGCUGGGAUUACAGGCAUGCGCCACCAUGCUCGGCUAAUUUUUGUACUUUUAGUAGAGACGGGGUUUCACCAUGUUGUCCAGGCUGGUCUCGAACUGCUGACCUCGUGAUCCACCUGCCACGGCCUCCCAAAGUGCUGGGAUUACAGGCGUGA